UUAGUAGUGCCAUGUGUCUGGACACUUCCUGUGGGCUAGGUUGGCUAGGUGGGCGUCAAUUAGUCUCAAACAUCAGCCGCCCCCUAACUCAACACUUGUGAACUUUCUGUCAGUCUGCGGUAUUUUUAGUACUGCUCUGAAAGACAAAUGAAAAGACUAUUGGCUGACUCUGAGUUGCUGCAACUGCACUGCCAUAGACAACAAACACCGAUUUUUCGGCUGGGUUAUCAGGGGAUGAACGUGUGUCAAGAAAUCAGUGAGGUACACCCAAAACUGACAAACCCUGAACGUGACUUUGAAUGACUGUUAUAGUUACGUGUACGUAUGUCAAAAUUAUUCCUUUAAUAAUUAUCUGUCUUCUCUAUAGGAUUCAUAUAAUUAUAAUAUACUAAUAGCUAAGUAACUAUUUUGCCAAGCCAAAAUAAAGGUUUGUACAGUUGCAGUUUUUCUCGUCUACUACGGUAACCACCUUGGCCGCAUUCUGGAGCAGUCCGAUUUUCUCGUAAAGGAGAUUCAUCAACCCAUUUCUCGAGAGCAACCAAAACCACAAUCGAUAGGGAGGCUGUUGUUCAUGAUGAUAUGGAUGGGAUAGCACAUGCAAACUACACAGAAGAAAAACACUUCGGUCAACCUUUUGUAUUUAAUUGCUGGGUUCUUGUCUUUGUAUGAUACACCAAUUCUAAUGAACAUGUACAACCAGCCUAGUAAAAUACACAGAAGUAAGAACGAGAUACUCAGUCCAAAAC